rnacentral:tRNA from 1 species
GCCUGGGUGGCUUAGUCGGUUGAGCGUCUGACUUCAGCUCAGGUCAUGAUCUCACAGUUCGUGAGUUUGAGCCCUGCAUCGGGCU